GACGAACCGUCCUAACGUUGUUCGGAAUCACUGGGCUUAAAGGGCGCGUAGGCGGUCGGCAAAGUCAGGGGUGAAAUCUUUCGGCUUAACCGGAAAAGUGCCUUUGAAACUAGUCGACUCGAGGGAGGUAGGGGCAAUUGGAACUUCCGGUGGAGCGGUGAAAUGCGUUGAUAUCGGAAGGAACGCCGGUGGCGAAAGCGAAUUGCUGGACCUCUUCUGACGCUGAGGCGCGAAAGCUAGGGGAGCAAACGGGAUUAGAUACCCCGGUAGUCCUAGCCCUAAACGAUGAGUACUAGGUUGUGGACUUGACAUGGGUUCACAGCCGAAGCAAAAGUGCUAAGUACUCCGCCUGGGGAGUAUGGUCGCAAGGCUGAA
rnacentral:rRNA from 1 species